GUCUUGGAACGUAUCCCUGGUGGAUAAGGCGGAACUACUGUAAUUACCAGAAAAAUAAAGCCACAGAAUGUAUUCUCAAGCUGAGUAGAAAGAAAAUAUAUUUUUGGCUUCUUCAAAAUAUAGUGACGGUGCCCUGAUGGGGGAUAGGUCACCUGGGAGGGGUGUUGUGGGGUGGGAGGUGGCGUCCCACUGGCUCUGGGCGAAGGCAGACCCGGGGCGGAGAAGAACUUGCUGGUGUGGGUCCGUGAGAAACCGCUUCCUGGCCAUGAUCUUUGUUUUCUCAUGUGUCACAUCUGUACUCCGGGGUUGAUGUGGGGAAGAGGGGGUUAUGGAAGGCUUCUCUGUGCCAGGUUGUCCUUCUCUCUCCGCGGCAACCCGCAGAAGGGCCGCAUUACGGUUUUCACAACGAGGAAAGUGAGGCCAGAGGGGCUCGGCAGCCCUCGCGGGGUUGGCCUGGCUGCCCAGUGAGUGUUCCUCAUCAGACCCCGUGAGAGCUACACUGCCUGUGGGUGAAAUGUACCAGACACACCGCGCGGGCUCAGUGUGAUUCAAGUCGUUGGUUCCUUGCCUCCAAGGGCACGUCACAGAUGGAAGGCCUGGCUGGUAGGCUUCACGGUAGCUCGAUGAAUCCUGGUAGCCACAUUUGUGGACGUGGAAAGACACCCAGAGUCUGUUGUGCUGUGAGAAAAGCUGGCUGGAGGACUGCACGUUGAUGACGAGCCUAUCUGUGCAGAGAUGGGCACGUGUGCAUGUCUAGAGAGACAGAGCAUGAGUGGGAAAGGGACAGAGAGAGGGAGACCCAGAAUCUGAAGACAGGCUCCAGGCUCUGAGUAGCCGUCAGCACAGAGCCCGACGUGGGGCUCGAACUCACGAACCGCGAGAUCAUGACCUGAGCCGAAGUCGGACGCUCAACCGACUGAGCCACCCGGAUGCCCCAGACAAAUGUGUUCUGAUCGGCAUCAGCUGCCGUAGCAACAAUGACAUCUACAUCAACACCGCCACCAUCACCACCAUCUCCGUGAGGAUUGCCUCCUCUUUCAGCCAAGAGACUCAGGCCGCCGGGGCAGGAGCAUAAUACCAGACCCAGGGUAAAACACAGCCCACAAGAAUUUCUGCUUUCAGCUCUUCCCAAACCCUGUGGCUGUAUCGUAAGUGACUUGCCCUCUGCCAGCUGCCAACAGGGCUUUUGUCUGCUCGGAGGGGGUGGGGUGGGGCAGGUCGCCGAGAAAAAUAUGCCGUCCACCUAGUACUUCUCAAUCAAUACGGCGUUUAUGCAUGCUUUUGGAUUAGAAUAAGCCAUCCCACUUUUUUUUUUUUUUAAAGCAUUUCUGUUGCAUCAGACCACCAAAGCAUUUCCCCUCUCUUUUUUUGGCCACCAAAUAUUUUUAUGAUUUUCCACAUAAACAGCUAGGGAAAAUGCUAGCAGCCACUCAGGCGGCAGUGGCAGGCACACUGUCUCCCAUGAGAGUAGGGGAUUAAAAAAAAAAAAAGACAAAAACGCAACAACAACAAGACCAAUGCCUAGGGGGUGGGGGGGUGGCAAGGGAGAGGUAGUUGGUCUAAGAUACAAGGAUUUCUAUGAAUUCUUCUUGGGAAUUCUGGGAUAAUAAACUAGCAGUCACCCUGUGGCUUCAGGCAGUGAUGCUCUCACUUUUGAAAGAGUGAAAUAUUUGCAGAUGGAAUUAGGCAUUGGUGAGGUCAGGAGGUGGGUGGGAGCGACCCCACCCAUCUGAGACCUGCCUCCUUCUGGUCCCCUCUCUUCCCAGCCUGACUUUGUGCCCCUCCCCCUCCCCUCACUAAGCGAGAAUCACCGUAAGGUUGGGGGACCUGCCUCCUGAAGGAGACUGGGUGCAGAUGGCCACAAGCUCAUGGUCUCUGGAAGACAGAAACUGGCUACCCGGGGCUAAUGCCUUCCUUCUCAAAAGCCGAGGACUGGCCGACAGGGCCUCUGAGGAGGUUGAGGGGCACAUGGCUAAAGGCAUAUCCUCAGCCCUGAAAAAUCCAGAUCAAGGAGACAUGGUGUCACCUCAGCAUGGGCCACUAGACUGGAUGACUGGGCACUCGGCAGGCAUGUGGUCACGAAGCAAACCAUCUCACCCCAUGAAGAAGUGACGAUCCUUUAGUAUUCGAAGGUUUGCAAACGGAAGACAGAAAGAAACCAAUGCAGACCAAUGGUUGAGAGAACUGGCUUUCCAAUUGGAUUGCUUGGGUCCCAAUCCUAAUUCUGCCGCCUAUUGACUGUGCAAUGUGGGAUCCUCCAAAAGCCUCAGUUCCUCCAACUCUGAAAUAGAGGAGAAGAACCUAUUCUGUGGGGUUGCUUAUGAGGAUUAAGUGAAAUAAUGCAUGCAGAGUUCCUAGUACAAAAUAAGACCCGAAUAACAUUUGCCGUCACCCUUGGUGGCAUCCUCAUUGUCGUUGUUUUUAUUAUUGAUGGUUCUGCAUGGCCCCAGAGAACAGAGGCAGGAACAAUGGGUGGGAACUGCAGGGUGGCUGCUAGUGGUUAGACUCCAGAAAGAACAGUCCAUUAGAACUGCAGAGAAAGGGAAUAGGAAGAAGGGAGGGUCGAGAGAAGAGGCGAAGGAAGGACAUAAUGGGGGAGGGAGGCGGGAGGGGGCUCACGCUCUUGGACUGUAGUGGACAAUUCUGCAAAGGACAGUGAUAAGCCUGAUGGAGGCAGGAGGUGAACCCAACUCCAGCCGGGGCUUAACCCCAGUCUGUGUUGGGGUGUCCAAGGGAGCAAAGAAUAGAGAAGCUUCCGCAGACACUGAUCACUGAGAACAGAGGUCUCCUUCCCCUCCCUUCUCCCCACGGUGGCCGGACCCCUCCCCAAGGCUGGCCCACAAGGUCAGUGAAGAAAUGAGGUCUUGACAUUCUUGAAGGUCUAGGGUUGGUGUUUGGCCUGUGUUCAAGGAGGGCUUCCAGUCCAAACAGGCUGCUUAGGAAACUGAGCCUGGCGUGACUGCGGGGGAGAGCCCCGCCCAACCAGCAGCAGCCUGCAAGGGCUGGGGGUCUUCUAGAAGCAGGCAUCCUUCUUCUUCCUUCUCCCUCAUCUCUCCCAAGCUACAUGGCUGAUUCUCAUUCCGUCCCUUCCCUCCUCUCGGCCUGUGCCAUCAUGGCCUUUGGCCCAACCUUAUCUUCUUUCCCCUGUAUGCAGCUCUGCUCCCAGCCUGGUGGAUGGCACUGGGGGGGACUGGCUGCGAGCUGGAGCCCCAGACGCCUAUGCCAACCUUGACCUCUUCAGCCCAGGACCUCUUCACUGAGUGAUCUGCCCCCUGCAGCCUCGGGUUCUUUAUUUGUAAAAUAGGGUUUCCACGCAGAUUUGGGGGGAUAAUAGAUGCCCCCAGCACGGUGGAAGCUGUGAUUAUAUUAUUAUUGCCAUAUUGUCAGAUAGGAGGGAGCGAUGGAGCCCGGCCCUCCUUGCAGGCUUAGGAAGAAGACCGCAGCCUGGAAAGACACCACAAA